rnacentral:rRNA from 1 species
UGGUGGGUAGUUUGACUGGGGCGGUCUCCUCCCAAAGAGUAACGGAGGAGCACGAAGGUUGGCUAAUCCUGGUCGGACAUCAGGAGGUUAGUGCAAUGGCAUAAGCCAGCUUGACUGCGAGCGUGACGGCGCGAGCAGGUGCGAAAGCAGGUCAUAGUGAUCCGGUGGUUCUGAAUGGAAGGGCCAUCGCUCAACGGAUAAAAGGUACUCCGGGGAUAACAGGCUGAUACCGCCCAAGAGUUCAUAUCGACGGCGGUGUUUGGCACCUCGAUGUCGGCUCAUCACAUCCUGGGGCUGAAGUAGGUCCCAAGGGUAUGGCUGUUCGCCAUUUAAAGUGGUACGCGAGCUGGGUUUAGAACGUCGUGAGACAGUUCGGUCCCUAUCUGCCGUGGGCGCUGGAGAAUUGAGGGGGGCUGCUCCUAGUACGAGAGGACCGGAGUGGACGCAUCACUGGUGUUCGGGUUGUCAUGCCAAUGGCACUGCCCGGUAGCUAAAUGCGGAAGAGAUAAGUGCUGAAAGCAUCUAAGCACGAAACUUGCCCCGAGAUGAGUUCUCCCUGAGACUU